AUUGAACGCUGGCGGCAGGCUUAACACAUGCAAGUCGAGCGGUAACAGAGAGAAGCUUGCUUCUCUGCUGACGAGCGGCGGACGGGUGAGUAGUGCCUAGGAAUCUGCCUAGUAGUGGGGGAUAACUUGCCGAAAGGUAAGCUAAUACCGCAUACGUCCUAUGGGAGAAAGGAGGGAACCUUCGGGCCUUUCGCUAUUAGAUGAGCCUAGGUCGGAUUAGUUAGUUGGUGAGGUAAUGGCUCACCAAGACCGCGAUCCGUAACUGGUCUGAGAGGAUGAUCAGUCACACUGGAACUGAGACACGGUCCAGACUCCUACGGGAGGCAGCAGUGGGGAAUAUUGGACAAUGGGGGGAACCCUGAUCCAGCCAUGCCGCGUGUGUGAAGAAGGUCUUAGGAUUGUAAAGCACUUUAAGUUGGGAGGAAGAGCAGUUAACUAAUAUUUGACUGUUUUGACGUUACCGACAGAAUAAGCACCGGCUAACUUCGUGCCAGCAGCCGCCGUAA
rnacentral:rRNA from 1 species